UACGUAGGGGCAAGCGUUGUCCGGAUUAUUGGGCGUAAAGAGCGUGUAGGCGGCUUGGUAGGUCCGCUGUGAAACUCGAGGCUCAACCUCGAGACGUCGGCGGAAACCAUCUGGCUAGAGUCCGGAAGAGGAGAGUGGAAUUCCUGGUGUAGCGGUGAAUGCGCAGAUAUCAGGAAGAACACCCGGUGGCGAAGGCGGCGCUCUGGGACGGUACUGACGCUGAGACGCGAAAGCGUGGGGAGCGAACAGG
rnacentral:rRNA from 1 species